rnacentral:rRNA from 1 species
CCUACGGGUGGCAGCAGUGAGGAAUAUUGGUCAAUGGACGAGAGUCUGAACCAGCCAAGUAGCGUGAAGGAUGACUGCCCUAUGGGUUGUAAACUUCUUUUAUAUGGGAAUAAAACGUUCCACGUGUGGGAUUUUGUAUGUACCAUAUGAAUAAGGAUCGGCUAACUCCGUGCCAGCAGCCGCGGUAAUACGGAGGAUCCGAGCGUUAUCCGGAUUUAUUGGGUUUAAAGGGAGCGUAGGUGGAUUGUUAAGUCAGUUGUGAAAGUUUGCGGCUCAAACGUAAAAUUGCAGUGGACACUGGCAGUCUUGAGUACAGUAGAGGUGGGCGGAAUUCGUGGUGUAGCGGUGAAAUGCUUAGAUAUCACGAAGAACUCCGAUUGCGAAGGCAGUUCACUGGACUGCAACUGACACUGAGGCUCGAAAGUGGGGGUAUCAAACAGGAUUAGAUACCCCAGUAGUC